rnacentral:lncRNA from 1 species
AGCCGCGGGAAACAAGAAUUUGAAAUCACAAGCCAGGCAAACGGAUCAAACGCUAUCUGAAGCGUGUUCUUCAUCAUGUUCAUCAACAUCAUUCCAGAAAAUCACUCAAGAACAAACAUUCAUGGAAAUGGACAAAUCGUAUAUCAUUGAACUCGUCUAAGCACGUACAUCAAGAAUAUCACCAUGAUUUAACCUAAUUCCUAACAUGCUAAGCAAAUCGAUCAAAAGAAGUUUUCACAUCCAAUCUUAAAUUCCAGAUUUCUCACUCAAUUUUCAAUGAAUUUCAAAACUACAAGCUGCAUCGUGCUCUAUGAACUUAGAUCUACACAAACCAUAUCAUAAUUUCGAGAAUUAUUGAGAUCGAGUUCUAACCUCUUGGAGAUGGCAGAC